GCUUCUUUUAAUGCUCUUAAACAGCUCCUCUCUUAAUCCUUAUCGCAAAUCUUCUCUUCCCUUAUAGGGUCUUCUUCUUCUCCUUUUCUUCCUCCCCUCGCCCAAGCUUCUAAGAGUUCUCGACUAUAUAUCUAAUCUUCUAAUCCUUAUUAUGGCUAUGUCAUGAUUGGCUUUGGGGAUAUUCUCUUUCCAGGGUAAUCAGAAUAAAUUCGGAAGAAAACAGUUCUUAGUUGAAGCUUGAAAUUCGAAAGGUUUGACUAAGAUUUGACUUAUUUGUAUAUGAUCUCGGAUCGAACUUUUUAUGG